rnacentral:lncRNA from 1 species
AUUUCAAGUUUUUUUUAUAUUUAAAAUAACAUAUGGCGAUAAUUCGAUCGAGUCUCGGUUUUCUUCCGCAGUUCAUCAGGUGGUUACAGCUGUGAUCUUUUAUUCGAUUUGCAAACAUUGAAUAUUUUUCCUUAGAAGAGACUAACAUUUGUAACCUAAAGGCAUAUAACUUAUACAGAACAAAAUUAUUGUCAUCUAUCAAAGGAAACGAAAUACAAUACAGCUAGCUCUGAACAGUGAUGAGGAUCUAGAUGUGUCAGACCGCGCAC